rnacentral:rRNA from 1 species
UACGGAGGGGGCUAGCGUUGUUCGGAAUUACUGGGCGUAAAGCGCACGUAGGCGGCUUUGCAAGUUAGAGGUGAAAUCCCUGGGCUCAACCCAGGAACUGCACUCGAAACUGCCUUUCUUGAGUGCCGGAGAGGAAAGCGGAAUACCUGGUGUAGAGGUGAAAUUCGUAGAUAUCAGGUGGAACACCAGUGGCGAAGGCGGCUUUCUGGACGGUAACUGACGCUGAGACGCGAAAGCGUGGGGAGCAAACAGG